rnacentral:snRNA from 1 species
AUUGCUUCUUCGCCUUUUGGCUAAGAUCAAGUGUAGUAUCUGUUCUUAUCAGUUUAAUAUCUGACACAUCCUCUAUCUGAGGACAAUAUAUUAAAUGGAUUUUUGGAGCUGGGACAUGGAGUAGAAACUUGCUCCAUCCACUCCACAUAUUGACCUGGUAUUGCAGUACCUCCAGGAACAGUGCACCAAGA